rnacentral:rRNA from 1 species
UACGUAGGGGGCAAGCGUUGUCCGGAAUCAUUGGGCGUAAAGCGCGUGUAGGCGGCCCGAUAAGUCCGCUGUGAAAGUCCAGGGCUCAACCCUGGGAUGCCGGUGGAUACUGUCGGGCUCGAGUCCGGAAGAGGAGUGUGGGAAUUCCUGGUGUAGCGGUGAAAUGCGCAGAUAUCAGGAGGAACACCAAUGGCGAAGGCAGCACUCUGGGACGUGACUGACGCUGAGACGCGAAAGCGUGGGGAGCAAACAGG